AUCACUUCUUGGCCUUUUGGCUAAGAUCAAGUGUAGUAUCUGUUUUUAUCAGUUUAAUAUCUGACACCUCCUCUAUCCAAAUAGAUACCAAAGAACAUCAAGCUACCACUA
rnacentral:snRNA from 1 species